UACGAGAGGCCCAAACGUUAUUCGGAAUUACUGGGCUUAAAGAGUUCGUAGGCGGCGCGGAAAGUGGGGUGUGAAAGCCCUCGGCUCAACCGAGGAAUUGCGCUCCAAACUACCGUGCUUGAGGAAGCUAGAGGUGAGCGGAACUGAUGGUGGAGCGGUGAAAUGCGUUGAUAUCAUCAGGAACACCGGAGGCGAAGGCGGCUCACUGGGGCUUUUCUGACGCUGAGGAACGAAAGCCAGGGUAGCGAACGGG
rnacentral:rRNA from 1 species